AUACGGAGGGUGCAAGCGUUAAUCGGAAUUACUGGGCGUAAAGCGUACGUAGGCGGUUUGUUAAGUUAGAUGUGAAAGCCCCGGGCUCAACCUGGGAACUGCAUUUGAAACUGGCAAACUAGAGUAUGGUAGAGGGGGGUAGAAUUUCUAGUGUAGCGGUGAAAUGCGUAAAUAUUAGAAGGAAUACCAGUGGCGAAGGCGGCCCCCUGGACCAAUACUGACACUGAGGUACGAAAGCGUGGGUAGCGAACAGGAUUAGAAACCCUAGUAGUCC
rnacentral:rRNA from 1 species